UGUGUAUGUGUGUAUGUGUGGAUGUGUGUGCGUCCAGAUGAGGAGGCUCUUCCAGAUGUACAUGGGCAGCUGCAGGUCUACAGAGUGGUGACAGCUUUACUCUGCUGCGUGCUGCUGCUCCUGUUACUGAUCCGCUUCACCAGACCUGCCGCCAGUGCCUUACAGAAAAGAUUUGCUAUGUUUUCAGUAUCAGAAAGGAGGCAGAAUCGCUGGAUCGGACCAACACAGAGUCACAGUGUGUCUUAUCAGCGAGGAAUAAGUGCAGUUAAAAACAAUGACGGAGAGAAGAGGCUGUCCUACCCUGCUCAGGAGCGACUGGCAGUCAUUGACAGCAGAGAGCCAUCAUCCAACAGGAACAGUGAUUAUAACUUCUGAUCAUCAUCAUCAUCAUCACCCAUAUGUUGGCCAAGAACACAAUUCCACAUUUGACUAUUUCUUGAUUUCGUUUUUAAUUGUAAUGACUUGAAGAUCAUGUGAAGUUGAUCUUUCAUCUCUUUAUAUACAUACCCACAUACUAAACCUACAGUUCUAACAAAUAGUCAGUAUUUACAACCAUCAAUGUAUAUCGUAUCUAAACUCAAUUUAGCAGCCUUUUUAAACAAGUUAUAUCCUCCUUACCAAAGUUAUAUUCACAUGUGAUAAUUUAAUGUCAUUGUUUUGGGGUUGUUAGAAGUUGUAUUUUUUUUACUUUUAGCUGGUAGUUUCCUGAUUCUUACAGUCUUUGUGCUAAACUAAUCUACACACAACCUGGACCAAGUUUACAAUGACAUACAAAAUCAAUCCCGCCUCAUUCUUUUCAUUUGUUUCAAUUCAAUUCAGUUUAUUUUGUAUAGCCCAGUCUUAAAAAUUACAAAUUUGCCUCAGAGUGCUCUACAAUCUGUACAUGUAGACAUCCCUGUCCCAGAACCUCACAUCGGAUCAGGAAAAACUCCCAAACAACCCUUCACGGGGAAAAAAAGG